ensembl:rRNA 5S_rRNA 5S ribosomal RNA
CCUCCCAGAGAACUAUUACAUUUGAGCCCUGUCUCUUGUCCCUCAAGCUAAAAUGUGUCAAGCUAGGUCAGUCCUUAGAUGGGAGACCUCCAAGGAAGACCUAGUUACUGCAAGGA